CAGUGAAUAUCCCAUCUUGUGUGGUGAAUAGCAUUCAAAAAACGUUCCCUGGAGAAGAUGGUGUUUACGAAGAAUAUCACGAAGCCAUAUGUUGCGCGCUCGGUGCAGGUGGGCGUGUGUGUUGAUGUGUGGGUGAGACUGGGAAGUGUUGUGUGCUAAGAACCAAUAAGUGAGUGUAACAUUGAGUCGAUGCUCUGUGCUAUCACUAAUCCCACAAUUGAGCAAACAAAACAAAAAUAACAAUGUACAAUGUUCAAGCCUAUGUGUUUGAGCCAAAAUACACACAGGCAGAACUUGACAUGUUGGAGAGGGGGUGUGACACUGAUGGAGGAGCACAACAAUCACAUAACAUGGACCUUGGAGAUGUUCCAGACAUGCUCGUUUUGAAAGACUGGUGUUCAUGUUCUCUUUGUGACCUAAUGCCAACUGCGGCAGAAUGCCAGUGUUUUUGUGAGUUUGAAAAGGUUGAACAAAAAAUGGAGGGUAUCGGAAUGAACUUGGAUCACGAGCAACAUGUCUGCAUAACAUAGAUACUAGAUACGAGAUAUUUAAUACUAGAUAAUAGAUAUGAAGUUCUUUAUUUGGACGAAGAUGUGUUACAUAUCAAUUUGCUUAUGAUCCAUGACAGUUUGAUGAAAGGACCACAUGUACAUCCAGUGGAAAAUCGGUGAGUACACAUGCUUAACGGUCUUGAAAUGCCAUUUGAAUGCUACGUGAGAAAUAUGAAUGCUAUACUAUGUCCGAAGUUUAUGAAAAAUGCGAGUUUAUUUUCCGACUACGGCGUACGACUAUCUAAAGGUUUAUUUAUCUGGAAUAUAAAAUGCAAAAAAAAAAAUUAAAAAAAAAUUGGGACUUCCCUAAAGUGAUUACAUGUAUAUAUCCAUUCAUCCAUUUUCUUUGCCGCUCCAUUUUCCGCUUAGCUGCAUGAGGGUCACGGGAUUGCUGGAGCCUAUCCCUGUUGUCAAACAGCAGGAGGCAGAUUACACACACGCAGGCACGGGGAGUACAUGCAAACUCCACACAGGUCCAGGAUUGAACCCGGGUCCUCAUAACUCUGAGGCCAACGCUUUACAGCUGCACCACCAUGUCGCAUCAUGAAGUAUAUUGUUGCUUGUACAGUACCGGCAUGAGAGGCUAUAGUUAAGGGGCUAUUGCUAAGGGGUAAAUAACCAUUAAUGGUUAGAUGCAUGCAAAUUUCCCCAGCUGAUGAACUAGCCUCAACUGUGACAGCCACAGCUUUAUCCUGUCAGGUGAACCCACUGGAGGUUAAAGAAGGACAAAUUUGGGUGCGUUUUCACAGUUUUGUUGUAGUUUGGUGCACAACACGUCAGCAUCUUGGCCUAGCUUGAACGAAUGGUCUGUCAGGAGCAGGUUCAAGGAUGUUUCUUCCGGGUCUGGCUGUGAAAGCUAGGACAUAUCCAGAUUUUGCUUGGAUUUAAAAAAUGUUCUUUAUUAUCAAUUGUUUUAAAUUAAUGUCCAAAAUAUAUGUAAUAAUAUUACUUUACAUUGGAGGGUUUAUUGUACAUGUGAAUUUUGGGGAGAGUCUUCCUUUAAGAUUCAAUCAAGACUAUUUUAAGGCAAUCUUUAUAGUAGUAAUAAAAUACAUUGCCAUUUCUGCUGCUGGGGUACUGGUACUUUCAGCCGAUAAGACUAAAUUUAGAGGAGCUUGAGGACCCAUAAAGGUAUACAAAGACCUGGAAACGACAUGGUGGUGGAGUAAAAGCAAAGUUCAUGAAGUCAACCGAGUCACAAAUUUAGAAGCUCCAGCUGACGCAAAAAUAAGUCUUCUGUCAUCAUGUGAAUGUCUACGCAAGCUAGAGAAACAUCACUGAUGUAAAAAGGGAUGCACAAAAACGCAUUUGCGCAGCCUCCAAACAUGUCAUUCACCGCUGCAGUACACCAACAGUCAACUGACAAUUCCCAAAGCCUUAGUGGUAGCGUCAACUUUGCAUCAACAUAUUUGCUCUUUGACAAUUGCUGACUGUUGUGAGACGGUAAGCAAACAACUCAUUCUGCCGACUGUAAGGGAAAGAACAAAAGCAGGGGAAAAUCGCAUUAAAACGCAGUGUGACACUUGUAAGCAUCAGAAACAAACCACGUUUAUCUGCAGACCUACUGCUGCCAGGGAUACAAAAGCCUGGUGUGAGGAAGUUGCAAAAAUAGUUUGAACAUGAAGAUCAGUAGUUGCUUCAGGGAAGUACUUGCUAGUGAAAGACCUUUCUUACUGACCAGAAUAACUGUGUGUCCAAACGAUGCUCUUUGGGGCUUAACUUCCUGGGCUUCCCCUGUCACUGGACACAUCCAUAGGCAACCACCAAGCAGAAUGAAGUUGUGACCAAAAGUCAAUAUUGUGGAGAUUUUGACAACACUUGACACCUCACUGUCAAUGAUCUCGCAGAGUGAACAUCCUCCUUACUGAACUUGAAUUGACACUGCGUGUCUAACUAUGAGUGUUAUGGAUUAUUCCUUGAGUUUUAAAGUGACCCGUAUCCACUAACAUUGUGAAUGAAAGAAGAAAUAUUACUUACAUACAGUUGCCUAUGGACCACAAUUUGUCUUCUCGUUUUAAAUGGAGGAAAACUUUACUUUACACCACUGGCCUCCAUUGGCUAUCAUUUUCUCUAUUUCUAGGUUAAUGUACUGGUAACGUUCUAUAUUUAUGCUAUAUCUCGGUGUCAAUGAUUUUGCUCUAUAGUUUUGAGUGUUGCUUUGUACGUAUGUAUGUGUGUGUAUAUAGUAGAUCCUUAACCAACACAUUAAGAUCACUUUUGAGAAAAGACAUCUCAGAAUUGUAUUCACAUUUAGAAGAAGUCUGAUUCCUGUUGGAAAAUAUACGAUUCUGUACAGUUCUUGUUUGUCUUCACGCUGUCCUGACCCAGAUCCAAACUGGUACAUCUGGGGAAAUCCAGUCUCAAGACAAACUACAUUGGAAUGUGGUUCAGAUAAAAAUGUGAUCUUUGUUCUUUCUUCACACAAAUCAGAUGGUAGACAAUGCGUCCAGUGUAUCACUCAGGUUUCCCCAGCGUAAUAGAAUUAUACAGUACAUUUACCAUGAUUAUUUAUUUGGAUGUAAAUUAAGGUCUCGGCUCCCACAGAUUUAGGUAAUUUAUAUUCAUUAUGCAAAAAAUAGCAUAGCUUACUCACAAACUAAUUUCCCAAAAGAAGAUUGAUCAUAAGUUCUUCAAUGCAAUGUUCAUCAUUAGCCAACAAAAUCCCAUUACCAGAGCAAACCUGUAUCUAGGGCAUAACCUGCUUGUUGAGGAAACAACAACCAUUAUCCUUUGGAGUUUUGGUUUAUGGACAUCAUGAAGCUGUCAACAAAGAGGCAUCCUGGCAGAUGAUAGCAUACAAACCCAAUUCCAAUGAAGUUGACACAUUGUGUUAAACAAAGAAUUAAACCAAAUGACACAGUGAUUUGCAAAUCAUGUUCAACAUAUUUAAUUUAAAACACUACAAAGGUAAGUUAUUUAAUACAAUGUAAUUCAAACUGAUAAACUUUACUGUCCAUCAUCUAUCCAUCUUCUACCGCUUUUGCAGGUCGGGUCAGGGGGCAGUAGCUUUAGCAGGGAUGCCCAGACUUUCAUUUCCCCUGCCACUUCAUCCAGCUCUGCUGGGGGGAUCCUGAGGCGUUCCUAGGCCAGCCAAGAGAUGUAGCAUGUCCUGGGUUGUGCCCACUACAUGUCACCAGGGAGGUGUCCGGGAGGCAUCCAAAUCAGAUGGGGGCAUCAACCUCAACUGGCGCCUCUCAAUGCGGAGGAGCAGGAGCUUGACAAAUUACAUGCAUUGACUUCUCCAUAUUCUCUGAAUUCUUUGAUGAUUUUGUGGACCAUAGAUGAUGAAAUUCUUUAAUUAUCAGCAAUUGAGGAUAAGCAGCUCAGAAAAUGGAUAGAUGGAUGGUUACGACUGAGCAAUUUAGGGAAGCGCCUGUUCUACUCAAUCAUGGCACCCAUCUAUUCCCAAUUAGCCUGUUCACCUCUGGAAUGUUCCAAACAGGAACAAGCGUGAGGGGCACAUAGUGUUACAUGAAGUCCAUCCAUCCAUCCAUGUAUUAUCCAAGUCGCUUAUCCUCACAAGGGUCACGGGAGAGCUGGAGCCUAACCCAGCCAGCUUCGGGCAGAAGACGGACUACACCCCAAAGUGGUCAGUCACAGGGCAGAUAUCGACACCAUCCCUGAGCGGGAAUCAAUCCCAUGCUGCCCGCACCAAAGUCAGAGAACGGCUGGUGCGGUGCGGCGAGCCCCUCCCUGAGCCAACGUGGCUUCCCAGGUAGGACAGAGAAGACAUGGGAGGAGAAUUCUCUCCUAGGCGUUCUCACCGCCUUUGAUUGGUGGAACGUUGCAUCACGCCUGAAACACGACU